UACGGAAGGCAGCAGUGGGGAAUAUUGCACAAUGGGCGAAAGCCUGAUGCAGCUAUGCCGCGUGUAUGAAGAAGGCCUUAGGGUUGUAAAGUACUUUUCAUCGGGGAGGAAAAACAAAACUAAUAAUUUUAUUUCUUGACGUUACCCGAAAAAGAAGCACCGGCUAACUCCGUGCCAGCAGCCGCGGUAAUACGGAGGGUGCUAGCGUUAAUCAGAAUUACUGGGCGUAAAGAGCACGUAGGUGGUUUUUUUAAGUCAGAUGUGAAAUCCCUGGGCUUAACCUGGAACUGCAUUUUGAAACUGAAAUACUAGAGUAUCGUAGAGGGAGGUAGAAUUCUAGGUGUAGCGGUGAAAUGCGUAGAUAUCUGGAGGAAUACCUGUGGCGAAAGCGGCCUCCUAAACGAAUACUGACACUGAGGUGCGAAAGCGUGGGGAGCGAAACAGGGAUUAGGAUACCCGU
rnacentral:rRNA from 1 species